rnacentral:rRNA from 1 species
GAACGGUAACAGGAAACAGCUUGCUGUUUCGCUGACGAGUGGCGGACGGGUGAGUAAUGUCUGGGAAACUGCCUGAUGGAGGGGGAUAACUACUGGAAACGGUAGCUAAUACCGCAUAACGUCGCAAGACCAAAGAGGGGGACCUUCGGGCCUCUUGCCAUCAGAUGUGCCCAGAUGGGAUUAGCUAGUAGGUGGGGUAACGGCUCACCUAGGCGACGAUCCCUAGCUGGUCUGAGAGGAUGACCAGCCACACUGGAACUGAGACACGGUCCAGACUCCUACGGGAGGCAGCAGUGGGGAAUAUUGCACAAUGGGCGCAAGCCUGAUGCAGCCAUGCCGCGUGUAUGAAGAAGGCCUUCGGGUUGUAAAGUACUUUCAGCGGGGAGGAAGGGAGUAAAGUUAAUACCUUUGCCCAUUGACGUUACCCGCAGAAGAAGCACCGGCUAACUCCGUGCCAGCAGCCGCGGUAAUACGGAGGGUGCAAGCGUUAAUCGGAAUUACUGGGCGUAAAGCGCACGCAGGCGGUUUGUUAAGUCAGAUGUGAAAUCCCCGGGCUCAACCUGGGAACUGCAUCUGAUACUGGCAAGCUUGAGUCUCGUAGAGGGGGGUAGAAUUCCAGGUGUAGCGGUGAAAUGCGUAGAGAUCUGGAGGAAUACCGGUGGCGAAGGCGGCCCCCUGGACGAAGACUGACGCUCAGGUGCGAAAGCGUGGGGAGCAAACAGGAUUAGAUANCCUGGUAGUCCACGCCGUAAACGAUGUCGACUUGGAGGUUGUGCCCUUGAGGCGUGGCUUCCGGAGCUAAC